rnacentral:rRNA from 1 species
AUCAUGGCUCAGAUUGAACGCUGGCGGCAGGCCUAACACAUGCAAGUCGAGCGGGGUCAAGGUGCUUGCACUUUGACUUAGCGGCGGACGGGUGAGUAAUGCCUAGGAAUCUGCCUGGUAGUGGGGGACAACGUUUCGAAAGGAACGCUAAUACCGCAUACGUCCUACGGGAGAAAGCAGGGGACCUUCGGGCCUUNCGCUAUCAGAUGAGCCUAGGUCGGAUUAGCUAGUUGGUGAGGUAAUGGCUCACCAAGGCUACGAUCCGUAACUGGUCUGAGAGGAUGAUCAGUCACACUGGAACUGAGACACGGUCCAGACUCCUACGGGAGGCAGCAGUGGGGAAUAUUGGACAAUGGGCGAAAGCCUGAUCCAGCCAUGCCGCGUGUGUGAAGAAGGUCUUAGGAUCGUAAAGCACUUUAAGUUGGGAGGAAGGGUUGUAGAUUAAUACUCUGCAAUUUUGACGUUACCG